rnacentral:rRNA from 1 species
GGUGGUAAUGCCGGAUGUUCCACAUGAUCGCAUGUGAUUGUGGGAAAGAUUCUAUCGGCGUGGGAUGGGGUCGCGUCCUAUCAGCUUGUUGGUGAGGUAACGGCUCACCAAGGCUUCGACGGGUAGCCGGCCUGAGAGGGCGACCGGCCACAUUGGGACUGAGAUACGGCCCAGACUCCUACGGGAGGCAGCAGUGGGGAAUAUUGCACAAUGGGCGCAAGCCUGAUGCAGCGACGCCGCGUGAGGGAUGGAGGCCUUCGGGUUGUAAACCUCUUUUGUUUGGGAGCAAGCCUUCGGGUGAGUGUACCUUUCGAAUAAGCGCCGGCUAACUACGUGCCAGCAGCCGCGGUAAUACGUAGGGCGCAAGCGUUAUCCGGAUUUAUUGGGCGUAAAGGGCUCGUAGGCGGCUCGUCGCGUCCGGUGUGAAAGUCCAUCGCUUAACGGUGGAUCUGCGCCGGGUACGGGCGGGCUGGAGUGCGGUAGGGGAGACUGGAAUUCCCGGUGUAACGGUGGAAUGUG